rnacentral:rRNA from 1 species
AACGAACGCUGGCGGCAGGCCUAACACAUGCAAGUCGAACGGGACCUUCGGGUCUAGUGGCGGACGGGUGAGUAACGCGUGGGAACGUACCCUUUGGUUCGGAAUAGCCUCGGGAAACUGGGAGUAAUACCGGAUACGGUCGAGAGACGAAAGAUUUAUCGCCGAAGGAUCGGCCCGCGUUGGAUUAGGUAGUUGGUGGGGUAAUGGCCUACCAAGCCGACGAUCCAUAGCUGGUUUGAGAGGAUGAUCAGCCACACUGGGACUGAGACACGGCCCAGACUCCUACGGGAGGCAGCAGUGGGGAAUCUUAGACAAUGGGGGAAACCCUGAUCUAGCCAUGCCGCGUGAGCGAUGAAGGCCUUAGGGUUGUAAAGCUCUUUCAGUGGGGAAGAUAAUGACGGUACCCACAGAAGAAGCCCCGGCUAACUCCGUGCCAGCCGCCGCCGUAAAAC